rnacentral:rRNA from 1 species
UACGUAGGGGGCAAGCGUUGUCCGGAAUCAUUGGGCGUAAAGAGCGUGUAGGCGGCCAGGUAGGUCGGUUGUGAAAACUGGAGGCUCAACCUUCAGAGGUCGACCGAAACCAUCUGGCUAGAGUCCGGGAGAGGAGAGUGGAAUUCCUGGUGUAGCGGUGAAAUGCGCAGAUAUCAGGAAGAACACCCGUGGCGAAGGCGGCAUCCUGGACCGGCAUUGACGCUGAGGCGCGAAAGCUAGGGGAGCAAACGAG